UAUGGAGAUUAAAUAGUGAAGAGAAGAUGAUCCAACAUCAAAAACUAAAUGAUCUUUUAGGACAAACUAGAGAGAACAUGAUCCAACAAGUUACAAGUUCUCUUGAUUAUCAACAUCAUCUGUUAGUUGUUUGGUUCUUUCAAGGACACAACUGUUAAUCAUAUAUAUGAAAGUUGGCUUACUCUCUCCAUAUGAUUGACACAUCAUCACUUUAACAUUUGUCAUGUAUCUAUUAAAUAAUUAAUGUAAGCUCUUCAACUUCUAAUUUAUAGGUUAAU
rnacentral:sRNA from 1 species